rnacentral:rRNA from 1 species
ACAUGCAAGUCGAGCGAUAUAGCGGCGAACGGGUGAGUAACACGUUGGAACCUGCCCCAAACUCAGGGAUAGCCCACUGAAAAGUGGAUUAAUACCGGAUAGUCCUCUUCGGAGGUAAAGAUUUAUCGGUUUGGGAGGGGCCUGCGCAGUAUCAGUUAGUUGGUGGGGUAAUGGCCUACCAAGACUACGACGCUUAGCUGGUCUGAGAGGAUGAUCAGCCACAAUGGAACUGAGACACGGUCCAUACUCC